UGGUGGAGUGAUUUGUCUGGUUAAUUCCGUUAACGAACGAGACCUUAACCUGCUAACUAGUUGCACCAACUCGCGUUGGUGAUCAACUUCUUAGAGGGACUGUGGAUGUUUAAUCCACGGAAGUUUGAGGCAAUAACA
rnacentral:rRNA from 1 species